rnacentral:lncRNA from 1 species
UCACUUUGGAUCAACAGUGUCCGGUUAGCCCUGUUUGGAGCAAUCUUCCCCGACUGCGCGCUGUUCGCUGAACCUUCGGGUUGCUCCCGCGCUUCCCACAGUGACCUGUUGCGCUCCAGACCAUGAGCACGGCCUCCGGUACAUCGAGACCUAUCAGUAUGUGUCUCAGCUGAACUUAGAAAUCCUCGGUUUGCGUGUACGGGCUAUGUUAUCGCCCGAUUUACAUAAAAUAUUGGGAUUUUAUGUAAAUUCAGGGGCUUUUGUGCAAUUGUGAGCCUUGGGGCUACUGUGGACAGUGUGUAGACAUGUGUGGUGUCCUCUGGACUGAUUGUCCAUGAUCCGUUAGCUUUUGCAGAAAUCGAAGAGUCGAUUUCGAUGCGUUUUUCGGCGAAAUUCGCCGAAAGAACGCGGUUUUGGUUCGGAUUUCUUCCGACGUCGUUUGGUUGCUCUGUGAGUGGUCGAUAAGCCUUGUCGGCUGGUCACCAUCAUCACCUUGUGGGUUCGGUGAUGACCGGUGAGCGACGGUGGGUUCCGGUGUCGAAUUUGACACUUCCGGAAACCCGUAUUCGUACAAUUAUCCGGCGAUAAUUGUGUCGUGGUGUUACCUUAUGUUUGCUGCCAAAACAUCCAAAUUGGAGUGUUUUGUGGCAGCGGGUGACUUGUAGCAUGGGUCGG